UACGGAGGAUGCAAGCGUUAUCCGGAAUGAUUGGGCGUAAAGGGUCCGCAGGUGGCAGUGUAAGUCUGCUGUCAAAGAAUGAGGCUUAACCUUAUCAAGGCAGUGGAAACUACACAGCUAGAGUACGGUCGGGGUAGAAGGAAUUCCUGGUGUAGCGGUGAAAUGCGUAGAGAUCAGGAAGAGCACCGGUGGCGAAAGCGUUCUGCUAGACCUGUACUGACACUGAGGGACGAAAGCUAGGGGAGCGAAUGGG
rnacentral:rRNA from 1 species